rnacentral:tRNA from 1 species
UUUUUAAUAUUAAAGAGCUUUGUUAAACUUAGACUUAAGUUUAGGUCAUUUUGGGGGUUUAGCUCAGUUGGCUAGAGCAUCGGCUUUGCAAGCCGAGGGUCAAGGGUUCGAGUCCCUUAACCUCCAUUGGGCUUAUGUCCUAAAUCGUAAUUAAGUAUGUUUUUAAGUAACUUUGUUAAAGUAAUUGUUGGAACGUGAAACAGAGGAAGUUAAAAUUUCUGGGUUAAGUUGAGAUCUGUUGAUAUUAAGAAGAAUCUCUAGAAGCAAAAGCAAGCUUUCGAUAAAACCCGAAGUUGUUUCGCUAAAGUGCAAGGAUUAAACAGGAUUGUAUUUUCCAGUAGCCUAUUUUAUAAAUGAUCUGCAUUUAGUAAAUAGUUUUUAGUUAAGAAAUAAUGUAGAUUGCUAAGUGUGAUGCCUGAAAGAAGGACAAGUAUUGUAGCGAGCCUAAAUCCUUGUUGUCGUUGCCAGUAUUUAGUGGUAGGGAUUCGGAUAAGACUGCCAUUUAUAAGUUGGAGGAAGGCAAAGAUUGCAUUAAAUCGUUAUCGCUCUUAUGUUUUAGGUUACAAGUUUGCCACAAUAACCCAAAAAAGCUAAGCAAAAUGCUAUAAAGCAGAUUUCAGUUUGGAUUUGCCCGACACUCAAUGGCAUGAAGUUGUAAUUGUUAGUAAUCGUAUAUACCUUAAUAUAGAAAUUGAAUAAAUUUUUGUUUUUUUAAUUAUAGCUUAAA